AGAAUUCUGACACGGAGGCAUGUGCCUAUGAGAUCUUCUUUUCAGGCCUCCAUCCUUCCUGGCCCACCUUUAGUACUGAGGAAUUACAGCAGAAAACAUGAAGAAUUGGUGCUUGCUGACUUGCCUGGGAUUGUAAGUUGUAUCCUGGUACUCUGAGCCUCAUGGAUUUGGGAAGGGAAAUUCUCCCUCAAUGGAACGACUUCCAUCCAAGACUGUUCUGCUCUUCAUCUCCAGAAAGAAGCAAAGGACCUCAAAUCUCAGCAUGUACACCAGUAGGAUCAGGCUGAACAGUUUCAAGCAUUGUGUUUCAGUCCUCAGAGCCACCAUACAAGCUAUGGGAAUUCUGAUGGAUGCAAGUUCAGCUCCAAGCAACUCAAUCUCUCAAUGAGUAAAAUCCAAGACAAAGUACAAGGCAAAGCUUUACUGAGCAGAGGUAGCAGGAAAUGCAAUGGUGGCAGGCAAUGAGGAAAACAACCUGGAAUGCUUAGAAGACACAGUGAGCCACCUGACCUUCCAGUGGUCCUUCACAAUUCACCAAGAGCAGAAAAGGGACAUAAACACAAGGACUUUAUACAGCAAUGUCCUCCUUACCUCCAUAUACCAUAUCCCUUAUAUUUGCUCUAAAGAUUUCAAUGAGAAUUAAUAGUUUUAUCUCUAGUCAGUUAAAAAUCUGACCC
rnacentral:lncRNA from 1 species